CCUGGAACUCACUUUAUAGACCAGGCUGGCCUCAAAUUCACAGAGAUCUGCCUGCCUCUGCCUCCUAAGUGCUGGGAU
ensembl:miRNA